GACGAACGCUGGCGGCGUGCCUAAUACAUGCAAGUAGAACGCUGAAGAGAGGAGCUUGCUCUUCUUGGAUGAGUUGCGAACGGGUGAGUAACGCGUAGGUAACCUGCCUUGUAGCGGGGGAUAACUAUUGGAAACGAUAGCUGAUACCGCAUAACAAUGGAUGACACAUGUCAUUUAUUUGAAAGGGGCAAUUGCUCCACUACAAGAUGGACCUGCGUUGUAUUAGCUAGUAGGUGAGGUAACGGCUCACCUAGGCGACGAUACAUAGCCGACCUGAGAGGGUGAUCGGCCACACUGGGACUGAGACACGGCCCAGACUCCUACGGGAGGCAGCAGUAGGGAAUCUUCGGCAAUGGGGGCAACCCUGACCGAGCAACGCCGCGUGAGUGAAGAAGGUUUUCGGAUCGUAAAGCUCUGUUGUAAGUCAAGAACGAGUGUGAGAGUUGGAAAGUUCACACA
rnacentral:rRNA from 1 species